rnacentral:rRNA from 1 species
GGUGGGCGCUAGGUGUGAGGGUCUUCCACGACUUUCGUGCCGUAGCUAACGCAUUAAGCGCCCCGCCUGGGGAGUACGGCCGCAAGGCUAAAACUCAAAGGAAUUGACGGGGGCCCGCACAAGCGGCGGAGCAUGUGGAUUAAUUCGAUGCAACGCGAAGAACCUUACCUGGGCUUGACAUAUGCAGGAUCGGCGUAGAGAUACGUUUUCCCUUGUGGUCUGUAUACAGGUGGUGCAUGGUUGUCGUCAGCUCGUGUCGUGAGAUGUUGGGUUAAGUCCCGCAACGAGCGCAACCCUUGUCUUAUGUUGCCAGCACGUGAUGGUGGGGACUCAUGAGAGACUGCCGGGGUUAACUCGGAGGAAGGUGGGGAUGACGUCAAAUCAUCAUGCCCCUUAUGUCCAGGGCUUCACACAUGCUACAAUGGUCGGUACAACGCGCUGCGAGCCUGUGAGGGUGAGCGAAUCGCUGAAAGCCGGCCUCAGUUCGGAUUGGGGUCUGCAACUCGACCCCAUGAAGUCGGAGUCGCUAGUAAUCGCAGAUCAGCAACGCUGCGGUG